rnacentral:rRNA from 1 species
GCUGGCGGCGUGCUUAACACAUGCAAGUCGAACGAAGAGCGAUGGAAGCUUGCUUCUAUCAAUCUUAGUGGCGAACGGGUGAGUAACGCGUAAUCAACCUGCCCUUCAGAGGGGGACAACAGUUGGAAACGACUGCUAAUACCGCAUACGAUCUGACCUCGGCAUCGAGGAUAGAUGAAAGGUGGCCUCUACAUGUAAGCUAUCACUGAAGGAGGGGAUUGCGUCUGAUUAGCUAGUUGGAGGGGUAACGGCCCACCAAGGCGAUGAUCAGUAGCCGGUCUGAGAGGAUGAACGGCCACAUUGGGACUGAGACACGGCCCAGACUCCUACGGGAGGCAGCAGUGGGGAAUCUUGCACAAUGGGCGAAAGCCUGAUGCAGCGACGCCGCGUGCGGGACGAAGGCCUUCGGGUCGUAAACCGCUUUCAGCAGGGACGAGGCCGCAGGGUGACGGUACCUGCAGAAGAAGCCCCGGCUAACUAC